rnacentral:rRNA from 1 species
AUACGGAGGGUCCGAGCGUUAUCCGGAAUCAUUGGGUUUAAAGGGUUCGUAGGCGGGUCAAUAAGUCAGAGGUGAAAUCUUGCAGCUUAACUGUAAAAUUGCCUUUGAAACUGUUGACCUUGAAUUACUGUGAAGUGGUUAGAAUAUGUAGUGUAGCGGUGAAAUGCUUAGAGAUUACAUAGAAUACCGAUUGCGAAGGCAGAUCACUAACAGUAUAUUGACGCUGAUGAACGAAAGCGUGGGUAGCGAACGGGAUUAGAAACCCCAGUAGUCC